UCGGAUUGAAGGCUGAAAUUCGCCUUCAUGAAGCUGGAAUUGCUAGUAAUGGCAGGUCAGCAUACUGCCGUGAAUACGUUCCCGGGUCUUGUACACACCGCCCGUCACACCAUGGGAGUUGGAAAUGCCCGAAGCCUGUGAGCUAACGAAAGAGGCAGCAGUCGAAGGUAGAAUCAAUGAUUGGGGUGAAGUCGUAACAAGGUACC
rnacentral:rRNA from 1 species